rnacentral:rRNA from 1 species
UACGGAGGGUGCGAGCGUUGUCCGGAAUCACUGGGCGUAAAGGGCGCGUAGGCGGCCUGAUAAGUAGGGGGUGAAAUCCUGUGGCUUAACCGCAGGGCUGCCUUCUAAACUGUCAGGCUCGAGCACAGUAGAGGCAGGUGGAAUUCCCGGUGUAGCGGUGGAAUGCGUAGAGAUCGGGAAGAACAUCAGUGGCGAAGGCGGCCUGCUGGGCUGUUGCUGACGCUGAGGCGCGACAGCGUGGGGAGCAAACAGG